CUACGGGCGGCAGCAGUUUCGAAUAAUUCACAAUGGGCGCAAGCCUGAUGAUGCGACGUUACGUGAAGGAAGAAAGCUUUAAGUUGUAAACUUCUGUCGUUAAGGAACAAAAAAUUAAGUUGUACUUUUUAUAUUGAGUUAACUUAAAAAGGAAGCAGUGGCUAAUUUCGUGCCAGCAGCCGCGGUAAUACGGGAACUGCAAGCGUUGCUCGGUUUUAUUGGGCGUAAAGAGUACGUGGGCUGUUAUAUAUGUUAAUUGUUAAAUUUUAAAGUUAAUCUUUAAAUUUGCUGUUAAAACUAUAUAACUAGAAUUUCAAAGAGGUAAGUGGAAUUUCAAGUGUAGCGGUGAAAUGCGUAGAUAUUUGAAGGAACACCAAUGGCGAAAGCAACUUACUGGGUGAUAAUUGACGCUAAAGUACGAAAGUAUAGGGAGCAAAAGGGAUUAGAUACCCUUGUAGUC
rnacentral:rRNA from 1 species